rnacentral:lncRNA from 1 species
UAAUCAACACUGUCCCCACAGGAUGGGAUGUGUGCUUCACGCCAGAUCCCUGAAGUUAGAGCAUGGGCUUCUUGAGGACAGAAGCUUUUCUUUCCUGUCUGCUCCCACCGCCUGGGUUGAUGGCCUUCCCUGAAGACUCUGGACACAGCCUGCACCUGGAGGCUGACGUGUCCGUCCCCACAGUAACCACCCGCCCGUGGAUGAACAAGCAGAGAGCCCUGGACGCUUCGUCAAUGCUCACUUCACCUUUAA